AGCGAACGCUGGCGGCAGGCUUAACACAUGCAAGUCGAGCGGGCAUCCUUGUGGUGUCAGCGGCAGACGGGUGAGUAACGCGUGGGAACGUGCCCUUCGGUUCGGAAUAACUCAGGGAAACUUGAGCUAAUACCGGAUACGUGCGAGAGCAGAAAGGUUUAUCUGCCGAAGGAUCGGCCCGCGUCUGAUUAGCUAGUUGGUGAGGUUACGGCUCACCAAGGCGACGAUCAGUAGCUGGUCUGAGAGGAUGAUCAGCCACACUGGGACUGAGACACGGCCCAGACUCCUACGGGAGGCAGCAGUGGGGAAUAUUGGACAAUGGGGGCAACCCUGAUCCAGCCAUGCCGCGUGAGUGACGACGGCCUUAGGGUUGUAAAGCUCUUUUCUCCGGGACGAUAAUGACGGUACCGGAGGAAUAAGCCCCGGCUAACUUCGUG
rnacentral:rRNA from 1 species